rnacentral:rRNA from 1 species
CCCGUCUGCCUACAAGCUGCGAGAGCUACUUCGGUAGUGAUCGCGUGCCUUUUGUAUAAUGAGUCAGCGAGUUACUCUACCGUGCGAGGUUAAGCGAAAGCGUAGCCGUAGUGAAAGCGAGGCUUAAUAGGCCGACUAGUACGUUGGAGUAGACCCGAAACCGGGUGAUCUAUCCAUGAGCAGGUUGAAGCAAGGGUAAAGCCUUGUGGAGGACCGAACCGUCAACGGCUGAAAACGUUCCGGAUGACUUGUGGAUAGGGGUGAAAGGUCAAUCAAACCCGGUGAUAGCUGGUUCUCCCCGAAAUAUAUUGAGGUAUAGCCUCGGGAAUUGAUUAGCGGAGGUAAAGCACUGACAGAGCUAGGGGUCCUACCAGAUUACCAAACUCUAUCAAACUCAGAAUGCCGCUUAAUCGUAUCCCGGGAGUCAGACGGCGGGUGCGAAGGUUCGUCGUCAAAAGGGAAACAGCCCAGAUCAACAGCUAAGGUCUCCAAAUCUAUGCUCAGUGGUUAAGGUGGUGACGUUGUAGAGACACCCAGGACGUUGGCUUAGAAGCAGCCAUCGUUUAAAGAAAGCGUAAUAGCUCACUGGUCUAAUGGCUCUGCGCCGAAAAUGUAACGGGGCUAAGCAUGGUACCGAAGCUUUGGCAAUCUCCUUUGGAGAUUGGGUAGGGGAGCGUUCGCUGCGGGCUGAAGGUGUAUCGGAAGGUAUGCUGGACUGCAGUGAAGUGAUUAUGCUGACAUGAGUAACGAUAAAAUAUGUGAAAAACAUAUUCGCCGAAAACCCGAGGUUUCCUGGGUAAAGGUAAUCUUCCCAGGGUUAGUCGGAUCCUAAGGUGAGGGUGAAAGCCGUAACCGAUGGAAAACAGGUUAAUAUUCCUGUACUUGUUGUGUAGCGCGAUGGAGGGACGCAGGAAGAUAGGCGGGCCGGGUGUUGGAUAUCCCGGUGCAAGCGUGUAGGAAUAUCCGGUAGGCAAAUCCGCCGGACGAAUCUGAGACGCGAGUCCGUGGGCGCAAGCCCUGAAGCCGUUGAGUCUAUGCUGCCUAGAAAAGCUCCUAAGUUUAUCCACAGCAAUCCGUACCGCAAACCAACUCAGGUGGGUGGGAUGAACAAUCCAAGGCGCUCGAGAGAACUCUGGCCAAGGAACUCGGCAAAAUAACCCCGUAACUUCGGAAGAAGGGGUGCUCUCUAGGGUGACAUGUUUAACAUAUGAAGCCCCGGGGAGCCGCAGUGAAUUGGUGGUGGCGACUGUUUACUAAAAACAUAGGUCUGUGCGAAGUCCUAAAGACGACGUAUACGGACUGACGCCUGCCCGGUGCUGGAAGGUUAAAAGGAGGGGUCAGCGCAAGCAAAGCUCCGAAUUGAAGCCCCAGUAAACGGCGGCCGUAACUAUAACGGUCCUAAGGUAGCGAAAUUCCUUGUCGGGUAAGUUCCG